rnacentral:rRNA from 1 species
CAGCCGUAAACAAUGUGCGUUAGGUGUGUCGGUAACCACGCGUUACUGAUGCGCCGAAGAGAAAUCGUGAAACGCACCACCUGGGAAGUACGGUCGCAAGGCUGAAACUUAAAGGAAUUGGCGGGGGAGCACCACAACAGGUGGAGCCUGCGGUUUAAUUGGAUUCAACGCCGGACAUCUCACCGGAUAAGACAGCUGAAUGAUUGUCAAUCUGAAGACUCUGCUUGACUAGCUGAGAGGAGGUGCAUGGCGUGUGACUGU